UCAAUCGAAUACAUGAAGAAAUACAAUGGUU
rnacentral:piRNA from 1 species